rnacentral:lncRNA from 1 species
AAAUUAGAGUGUAGACUACAAAACAAGUCUAUAAAGUAGACUUCGUAGGAAGUCUAUAUAUAUGUAGACUUCUUUUAUUACGUGUAGACUUCCAAAGGAUAGAAACGUAAAAUACAUUUAUGUUUUUUGUUUGGUCAUAAGAGUGAAAUAGUACUUUCACUACUCCUUUAGGUUGGUUUUGCAUUUGACUGAAAGUGGGGUACA